CUGGAAUUGCAGGGAAUUCCCAGCAUUCUUCAUUCUGGAGAAGAUCACAGUUUGAUAACAUCAAGAAGCUCAUUAAGGGACCACCUGAGGCCAGAUGAAAG